rnacentral:lncRNA from 1 species
UUCUAAAUGCGAAUGGUAGCAGGACCUGCGGCACAGGAAGGACUGACUAAAUGUGCUGAAAAAAUAUGCAUCUAUCCUCAGUGUGGAAAAUUUUCUUGCAGUGUUCUGACAUUACAUUUCUAGAAUUGAAGAUGGACUGACUGAUUCAAGAAGAUAAACCCAGAUCUUGGAGUCUCUGCUUGGGAAUGGGAGGCCAUUGUGCAAGUAGCAAUGAACAGACACAGAAAAAGCUGUCCUUGUCCUAGUGACUUUCUGAAAUUUGCACAACCCUGCAUCUGAGCA